UGGGGAAUUUUGGACAAUGGGCGAAAGCCUGAUCCAGCAAUGCCGCGUGCAGGAUGAAGGCCUUCGGGUUGUAAACUGCUUUUGUACGGAACGAAAAAGCUUCUCCUAAUACGAGAGGCCCAUGACGGUACCGUAAGAAUAAGCACCGGCUAACUACGUGCCAGCAGCCGCGGUAAUACGUAGGGUGCGAGCGUUAAUCGGAAUUACUGGGCGUAAAGCGUGCGCAGGCGGUUAUGUAAGACAGAUGUGAAAUCCCCAGGCUCAACCUGGGAACUGCAUUUGUGACUGCAUGGCUAGAGUACGGUAGAGGGGGAUGGAAUUCCGCGUGUAGCAGUGAAAUGCGUAGAUAUGCGGAGGAACACCGAUGGCGAAGGCAAUCCCCUGGACCUGUACUGACGCUCAUGCACGAAAGCGUGGGGAGCAAACA
rnacentral:rRNA from 1 species